rnacentral:rRNA from 1 species
GACGAACGCUGGCGGCGUGCUUAACACAUGCAAGUCGAGCGGUAAGGCCCUUCGGGUACACGAGCGGCGAACGGGUGAGUAACACGUGGGUGACCUGCCCUCCACUUCGGGAUAAGCCCGGGAAACUGGGUCUAAUACCGGUUAGGACCUCCUCAUGCAUGUGGGGUGGUGGAAAGCUUGUGUCUUUGAUGCUUGCGGUGGGGAUGGGCCCGCGGUCUAUCAGCUUGUUGGUGGGGUGANGGCCUACCAAGGCGACGACGGAUAGCCGGCCUGAGAGGGUGAUCGGCCACACUGGGACUGAGACACGGCCCAGACUCCUACGGGAGGCAGCAGUGGGGAAUCUUGCGCAAUGGGCGGAAGCCUGACGCAGCAACGCCGCGU